GGCCUGGGCUACACACGUGCUACAAUGGUCGGUACAGAGGGUUGCCAAGCCGCGAGGUGGAGCUAAUCUCACAAAACCGAUCGUAGUCCGGAUCGCAGUCUGCAACUCGACUGCGUGAAGUCGGAAUCGCUAGUAAUCGCGAAUCAGAAUGUCGCGGUGAAUACGUUACCCGGGC
rnacentral:rRNA from 1 species